GUCAAAACCGAAGCAUCAUCCUGGUUCUCUGCCGGCUGCCAGGUACCCUAGUGCCAAACACAUCUGGUGCCUGAUGCUCGCAGGGGUCCUAGACUGACAGCUGACAGCAUCUUCAUGGGAGACCAGGAGUUCUGCCUUGACAGCAGGGUCCUGUCCAUUAUAGUAUUGGAUCAUUGCUACGAACUGAGAGUUUAAACAACGCUGAUUGGAUGUACCUGUGUGGGGCAGCGGACAGUGCCACUAAAUAGAAGAACUGGAUCAGAUCUGCCUCAAGGAAGGGAAAAAGAGCCUGCGGAGGUAGAGGA
rnacentral:lncRNA from 1 species